rnacentral:rRNA from 1 species
UACGUAGGGGGCGAGCGUUGUCCGGAUUUAUUGGGCGUAAAGAGCGUGUAGGCGGCCAGGUAGGUCUGCUGUGAAAACUCGAGGCUCAACCUCGAGACGUCGGCGGAAACCAUCUGGCUAGAGUCCGGAAGAGGAGAGUGGAAUUCCUGGUGUAGCGGUGAAAUGCGCAGAUAUCAGGAGGAACACCUAUGGCGAAGGCCGCUCGCUGGGACGUUACUGACGCUGAGACGCGAAAGCGUGGGGAGCAAACAGG